UUAGAUAUGGUUCAAGGGGUAGAGUACUUGACUACCAAGCGUGAGGCCCUGAGUUCAAUUCCCAGUACCAAAA
rnacentral:tRNA from 1 species